GGGUUGUGAGGUUAAGCGACUAAGCGUACACGGUGGAUGCCCUGGCAGUCAGAGGCGAUGAAGGACGUGCUAAUCUGCGAAAAGCGUCGGUAAGGUGAUAUGAACCGUUAUAACCGGCGAUGUCCGAAUGGGGAAACCCAGUGC
rnacentral:rRNA from 2 species